AUUGAACGCUGGCGGCAGGCCUAACACAUGCCAGUCGAGCGGAUGAAGGGAGCUUGCUCCUGGAUUCAGCGGCGGACGGGUGAGUAAUGCCUGGGAAUCUGCCUGGUAGUGGGGGAUAACGUCCGGAAACGGGCGCUAAUACCGCAUACGUCCUGAGGGAGAAAGUGGGGGAUCUUCGGACCUCACGCUAUCAGAUGAGCCUAGGUCGGAUUAGCUAGUUGGUGGGGUAAAGGCCUACCAAGGCGACGAUCCGUAACUGGUCUGAGAGGAUGAUCAGUCACACUGGAACUGAGACACGGUCCAGACUCCUACGGGAGGCAGCAGUGGGGAAUAUUGGACAAUGGGCGAAAGCCUGAUCCAGCCAUGCCGCGUGUGUGAAGAAGGUCUUCGGAUUGUAAAGCACUUUAAGUUGGGAGGAAGGGCAGUAAGUUAAUACCUUGCUGUUUUGACGUUACCAACAGAAUAAGCACCGGCUAACUUCGUG
rnacentral:rRNA from 1 species